GUGUGGCUGAAGGGCUGGUUAAUGAAGACACCCUCAAACCAUCGGUAAGGGAGCCCUAAGGCAUUCAUUUCACAUGAAGAGACAGAAACAGAAAUCAGCCGUUUGGUAAAGUUACAAAAUGAUGUCAAAGGAUUUCUUUGAAGAUGCAGAUCCAGGUACAGAGAUGAUAACAUAUAUGAACUUAUGAAAUAAUUGCAAUAAGGACCCUGAAUAGUUGACACCUGUAGUAUGUGGUACCAGUUUAUUAUCACAUUGUUGAUCGCCCUGAAAUUUGAUCAAGGCUGAAAGGCUCAAAAUUGUCCCUGAUGGAAUGCUGAUCAGCCAGUGGACAAAGUUGGAAAGCUCUCAUGAAGCAGAACUUUAGGCAACCAGCUUUAUAUUUGGAUCUCCUUAUGGUGGAUGUUUUGGAACUGGCUGAACUAGUCAAAGGGAAUGACAUGUUCAACA